rnacentral:rRNA from 1 species
CAGUAGGGAAUCUUCCGCAAUGGACGAAAGUCUGACGGAGCAACGCCGCGUGAGUGAUGAAGGCUUUCGGGUCGUAAAACUCUGUUGUUAGGGAAGAACAAGUGCUAGUUGAAUAAGCUGGCACCUUGACGGUACCUAACCAGAAAGCCACGGCUAACUACGUGCCAGCAGCCGCGGUAAUACGUAGGUGGCAAGCGUUAUCCGGAAUUAUUGGGCGUAAAGCGCGCGCAGGUGGUUUCUUAAGUCUGAUGUGAAAGCCCACGGCUCAACCGUGGAGGGUCAUUGGAAACUGGGAGACUUGAGUGCAGAAGAGGAAAGUGGAAUUCCAUGUGUAGCGGUGAAAUGCGUAGAGAUAUGGAGGAACACCAGUGGCGAAGGCGACUUUCUGGUCUGUAACUGACACUGAGGCGCGAAAGCGUGGGGAGCAAACAGGAUUAGAUACCCUGGUAGUCCACGCCGUAAACGAUGAGUGCUAAGUGUUAGAGGGUUUCCGCCCUUUAGUGCUGAAGUUAACGCAUUAAGCACU